CCCUUAGAUGUUCUGGGCCGCACGCGCGCUACACUGAUGUGUCCAGUAAGCACCUAACCUCUUCCGAAAGGAACGGGUAACCUUUGCAAAGCACAUCGUGAUGGGGAUAGAUUAUUGCAAUUAUUAGUCUUGAACGAGGAAUUCCUAGUAAGCACAAGUCAUCAGCUUGUGUUGAUUACGUCCCUGCCCUUUGUACACACCGCCCGUCGCUCCUACCAAUUGAAUGUUCCGGUGAGCUCUUCGGACUGCGCGGUCUGCAGUUUCUGCGUUCCGUGCGGAAAGUUGCGCAAACCUUAACAUUUAGAGGAAGGAGAAGUCGUAACA
rnacentral:rRNA from 1 species